rnacentral:snRNA from 1 species
UCGGACGUCUUCGGCGUUCGAA